UACGGAGGGUGCGAACGUUAAUCGGAAUCACUGGGCGUAAAGCGCGCGUAGGCGGUUUGUUAAGUGGGAUGUGAAAGCCCCGGGCUUAACCUGGGAAUUGCAUUUCAAACUGGCGAACUAGAGUGCGGUAGAGGGAGGUAGAAUUUCCUGUGUAGCGGUGAAAUGCGUAGAUAUAGGAAGGAAUACCAGUGGCGAAGGCGGCCUCCUGGAUCGACACUGACGCUAAGGCGCGAAAGCGUGGGGAGCAAACAGG
rnacentral:rRNA from 2 species